GACAGCCUGUGACGUAGAAGAGCUUCCAGCCCAGACUAUCUGGGGAGCAAACACAGGAGACUGCGAUGGGUGACUCCUCGAGGUGACGAUCAUGGCACCAUGUGUGACAGCAGAGAGGGGGGACUACUUCCAGGGAGCUGCUGAAAGCACAGACUAUACCUGCCACAAGACCUGAGGCAGACAUCAGAGUGCCUUUCUGAAUAUUUUAUGACAUGAAAAUGCUGAUGUAAAUGAAUGCAAGCUGUGAGGGAAACACCAGCACAUGAAGCUAAGGAAGCUUCUAGGGGCAGGGCGGAGCAGAUGACGUUCCUCACCUCCACUGUAGUAGGCAGCAGCCAGGCCGAUCGACAAGAUUCCUGUGGGGAGAAAACAGGUACCUUCCCAUUGGGCAACCACUAGCCCAGAGACCACCUCUUCCCAGGACCCACAGACCCAGGUUCCAGAGCUGACGGGGGAACCAGAAAGAGGAACCUGAUGUGGGUUUCAUCCACUGACAGCACAUUGUGUGGAAUGAAGACAAGACUGCAGGCCCUGACUUAAAUCAUAUACGGGAGACUGGAUGUAUGAAAGCAAGCAAAAAAUGAAAUACAGGGACCUCACAGGAGCAUGGAGACUAUUAACCAAAGGAUGUUAAAUGGUGAAAAAACACAAGACUGACCAUCUGAAAAGCACUUGAAAAGGGUAAAAGCUGGAAAGACAUAAUAGUUGCUAUUUCUUGGGGUAGCAGAACCAAGGAAAAUUUUAAUCUUCAUCCUUUUUUAAAGUUGGAUUUUUAAUUUGAGAAAUAUGAACAUCCUUACCAACCAGCAGGGACCAGGAUCUGAUGCCUGGAGCCCUCUUCAGAUGGAGGCGGGAGC